CUACGGAGGGUGCGAGCGUUAAUCGGAAUUACUGGGCGUAAAGCGUACGUAGGCGGUUGGUUAAGUUAGAUGUGAAAGCCCCGGGCUUAACCUGGGAACUGCAUUUAAAACUGGCGAACUAGAGUUGAGUAGAGGGGAGUGGAAUUUCAGGUGUAGCGGUGAAAUGCGUAGAGAUCUGAAGGAACACCAGUGGCAAAGGCGACUCCCUGGACUCGAACUGACGCUGAGGUACGAAAGCGUGGGUAGCAAACGGGAUUAGAAACCCGAGUAGUCC
rnacentral:rRNA from 1 species